GAGGCAUUCUGGGUUGGGAGGGAGUGGUGUUUGAUGGGGUUUUUGGUUUGUUUUCUUUUUCCUGUGCUUAAGCACUAAAACUGAGUAAAGCCCUUUAAAAUUUCUUCUGUACUACAAAAGUAGAAAUGACCUUCAUCAGGAACUUGUGCGUGUCAAGUGGAACCCAGGUGAAGUUUUAAAGGACCGUGGUCAUGAGAGAAACUUUCACCGUGCCCUGAAAAUGGACAGCCACCUGCAUACCUCACAGGUUUUCAGUAGCCUUUGACAUACCCUGUACAAACAGCAACAUAAAGGCAGAAGACUACAUCGUGCCACAAUCCGGAUGCCAGAUACUGUCUGUAUUGGAAGGGUUUAGAGCCCUUGUUCCUUUAACAAAAUACGUGUAUGAUAGUGGUCUAAAGACAAACACUGCAUUGACUCAUUUUGUACACCUUGUGCAUGAAAAAUAUUCCAGUUAAGUGUAUUGUCAAAACAUAGAUGUAGGAAAUAAUUCAUGUGUAAAGACAUGCAUUAGUAACUUCAACUUAGGGUUGCAAGGAGCUGUUUUACCAUGGACGCUAUCCAAAGAAGGGGUGCCUAUUUCCGUAGAAAUGGGUGUACUGGAGCAUCAGCAAAGGAAUGUGAAGGUGUUCUUUAGUCCAAGACUUCAUUUCAGUGAAGUGACUCUGAAUCUGGCCCUGGAUCCAAACACUGAGUGGAAAAGCGGGAAGCAGUAUGAUCUACAGGAUGUAAAGCACGACUGGGAAAAUCCUGUGCUACCACUCUCAUGCUCUGAAAAUGGCUUAUUUCCAUGUGGAUGUUACCUGUUUCCUAUAGAUGUUAGGUAGGUUUCUGAUUCUGUAAGCUGCUGAGGGUAAACUAAGUUGGGAUGCCUGUUUAUCUACCUUUCCCGUGGCCCCUUCAUCUUCCUUUUUGCUACUGAACCUUGUUUCUCCAUUGUGUGCCUGGAAAUGAAGAGAGGCAAGAAGUUUGGCUGGUUCUGCUUCCUCGAGGAGCAGUGGAAGGAGUGGUGGCAGCGGGAGAGGGACUUUGCUGUAGCGAGGGGAGGUACAGGUACCGCAGGCUGAAAGCACGAGGGCCAAGUCAGCCCUUCGCAGCGGUGUAGUAUCGCGGGUCCAGCGGCUUCCCUCCCCCUGUGUUCACCAAAGGACGCGGGCUCAGCGUGAGAGCAGCUGCAGCACCGCUGGGCGCAGUCAUUCAUACGCUGCACGAUGUAAGAGCUCUGAAACAGGCUAUGAAGGGUUUGAAUUUGCAUGUCUGCUCCUGUUACUGAGCCUAUCUUCUGGGUGACGAGAACCUUGACAUAGGAAUAGCAUAAAACAGCCUUUCACAGCAGCAAAGACAUCACUGUUUGUCUGUCCCAAAGUUAAACCCAUCACAGGAAAAUGUCCAAAUUGUCUGCAUCUGGCUUCUUUUAGUAACAAGCUUCAUUAUAGGAGUGUCUGUCUCAUGUACAGCAGUUUAUGCAACAUUGUUUAUAAAGGAAGGGCCUGUGCACUUCAGGGAUACUAUAAAGAAAAAUACUAAUAUAUGGUCAUUGAGUAUUUUGUAUUGACUAGUGUAUUUGUAUUGUAAACAAGUGUAGUGAACCACAAGGCAUGAAGACAAAUAAAAUGACUGUAGCUGGCUUUCUCUGUCUUGGGCUGUGUAAUGAUUGGAUCAAUGUCAGAGGGAGGUCUCUGGACAUCAAUUUUUACUUGGUAAAGUUACAGAAGUAUUAAGGUACACCAACACACAAAGGAGCAGGUGUGAUGUUAAACCGAGACAGCCACCUUUCUGGCUAGCAGCAGUGUGUUUAAGACUUGUUUGCAUUGCAAAUGUCGUACCUCCAAGCUUCUUACAGAGAAAGGUGGUGUUCCUCCUACUACAAAACACCAAGGGUGGCUUUUACCUACAGGAAACUGGCCAGUAUAAAAAGAGAACAAAGUAUAUGGUGGAAGAGAGCAUUUGGGUAUUUUCAUUCCUAAAUGUUUAUAUCCUAACACAGCAUUUUUCUUUGGGUCUGGACAUGGACUUUGAGUAGGUCUAAUUAUGAGCUGUGUUUUUGUACAGUGGAGUGCCAGUACUGAGUCCUGUGACAAAGAUAGGAAGAGGUAGCUCCUGCCCCGAAAUGCUCACUUUUCUCCCUUCCCUGUACCACUCCUAUGCCAGAGGUAGCUGCUUUCUCAAGAAAUGGUCCUUGAAAUUAGGACUGACUUACCUAUAAACCUUAUUCUCCUUCACUUGUUUAUCCACAUGCUUAUUCUCCUGCAGGACAGUGCUGUGGUUUAGUUAACAAGACUUUUCCUGAGCAGGUAUCUGGCAGGCACCUCUUCUCUCCCUCCAUUUCCCCCACGCUUUGGUUCUUGCCUGUCUUAACUGAAAAGGGAGCUCUCUCCUGUGCUCUUCUAGGAGUAGAGCUAGUCACCAGACAGCCAUCACAUAACGGUUUUGAUCUGGCACUGGCUGGCAAUCUUUGCUAUAAUUUCCAUUUUUUCCAGAAUUGUCUGUCUGCAGCGAGGCAGGAAAAAGGAUGCAGGUGGGUACUCUGCUAUGUGGCUUUCAUGGACACAGUUUCAGUUUCUACCUGGUGUUUGACAAGUCUUUGCAAAAUUUGAACUCUGUAAAAGCCAUGACGUAAGUGCUGGACUAGCCCCCUAUGCAACGUUCUCACAGGUAACAGAGCUAACUUGUCAGAGAAACUAGGUUAUGUUUUGCAAAUCUGCAGUGCCAAUUUUGGAUUGUUGUGCCUCAGAUCUUGCCGGAUAGCAACACUUAAAAAGCACAGGCACCCUGCCCAGAAAACCAUUACUGUCAACAUCUGCAAAAUAAUCACUGAAUCCAACUGGACUGAACUCCCUAGAAAUGAAUUCUCCAUCCUGGAACACCUCAAGAAAGUUUUCCUCCUCCUGUCACACCUGUGACCUCUCCUUUCCAGCCCAGUGUCCAACUAAGCUCAAAAGAUUUCAUUGCUGAGAGCACUGAAGAAGUACAUUUUCUGAAACUGGACCCCAGAGACAUGCUGUGCAACAAGGACAAGCCUCAAAG
rnacentral:lncRNA from 1 species